rnacentral:sRNA from 1 species
UGGGGUUCAAAUUCGAACUUGUAAGAAUCGGUAGUAUUUUCUCAUUGCUUCUUUCUCUUCCAUUCUCUUUAGUGCGGUUGUGUGUAUGCUUAAUGUGUGAGAUUUAAGAAGCAGAAAAGAGCAACGCCAUCAAAAAAGUUAACUAAGCGCCAGGAUCAAUAUGAAGAGAAAUCAUAUUCACAUUUAUCAUGAGAAGAAAAGGAAAAAUAUUGACAAAUCAAGAAGGAAGCUAAAUGAUGCUGCAUUUCACGGCAAAAGUGAUUAUUCCUUGGAUAAAGACUAAAUUAGCAUGAGGAAAGACACAAAGUGAUGCACACCUUGAUUUAAGAAUAGAACCAUG